AUGCUGAAGAAGCUUCAUCUGAAGGAUAGUGAACUCGACGAUGUUGUCUUACCAAAGGACGAUUUCGCUGCUCUGAAAGAAGAGGCGCGAUGGAUGGCACUGGUCAAAGUUCACACCCGAAGAACUUACAGCAGGAAGUCGUUCUACUCCACGAUGGAUGUAGCAUGGAAUUUUGCACGUGAGUGGAUGAUCAGGCCGGUAGGAGGGGAUUUGUAUGUGCUUCAAGUCUCUUGCUUGGGCGACUGGAAACGUUUGACUGAAGAAAGUCCUUGGAUGUUCAGGGAUAUGGGGCUAAUCAUUGAGCCUUAUGAUGGAAUUGCAGACCCAACUUCUGUGGUACUGGAUAGGCUGGCUGUGUGGGUACAGAUCCACAAUAUACCCCCUCUAUUUCGUAAGAAGGAACUUGUGGAAGAUCUGGCUGCUAGGGUGGGUACAGUACUUGCUGUAGAGAUGUACGCGCCAUCACUAACUAGUGCUAAUUUUGUACGAGCAAGGGUUAAGAUUGACAUAAAUUCCUCUCUCACCCGCUUUGUCUCUAUAACACCCGAGGGGGAGAGGAGACAGACCUACUGUGUAUUAUUUGAGAAGCUCCCUAGGUUUUGUGAGGCUUGUGGAAUGAUUGGAUAUGACAGUAUGAUCUGCGGUGAUGGGGUGCAUGAUCAAAGAACCUUGGAAUACGGUGAUUGGAUGAUCGCGCCGUUUGAAGAUUGGAGACGGCGAACCCCUGGGGCCGGUCCAUGGUUUCAGAGAGGACGUAAUGAAGGACGGGGGAAUCGCGGCGGCCGUGGCGGGCGCAAUCCUGGCAGAAACGGCGGCCGUGGGCAGAGGGCCAAGGAGCAGGAGGCUGUCCGCCAAGAGAAAGCUCCAGAUAAUGUGGGAACGGAAAACAGUUCAGCGGGAGAGGAGGUCAAGGAUUCGGCUGAAACCGAGAAGGAGAUCAUCUUGCGCAAGAGGUGCCUAAGCGAUGCAGGUUUGGUUACACCGGUAAAGAACUAUUCAGAAUCAAUUAUCGUUAAUGACCCUUUGGUCAGAAGGAACCUAGCUCUUGCAUUGGUGGGUGAUGGAAGCACGACACAAGCUUCAAGCUCAAGUGGAGAGGGAGAGUCUGUUCCUCCUCUACCGCCAGUUUAUAUUUCGCCAAGAGGGAAUAAGAAGAAAGCAAAAAACCAGACAACCAUGACAGCGGCCUCCCAAGUGGAGGGCCGCGGGAAUCAAUGA
rnacentral:rRNA from 1 species